rnacentral:lncRNA from 1 species
UCAAACAUUAUUUUGUCUAAAAUAAAUUGAGUCACAAUGGACUAAAUAAUGAAUCCUAGAAAUCUCACCCAACUCUUACCAUACUUUAAUAUUUUCUUUUGUUUUCUUCUAGUAAUUUAUUUAAAAAUACCUAAUAAUUUUUUGUUAUUAUGCCUUUUAUAAUAUCUCAAGCAAGAAAAAAGGUCUUCAUUUUCUUUUUCAACCCCAACAUAGAUUUCUUUAAAAAAAUGGAACGGCGCUGGAAAACUCCAAGUCCGACAGAUUUUUUUAAUCAAAUGUAUUUUAGCUGUGUAUAUUAUGUACUACACACAAAUUUUAUGAAUAUACACCAAUAUACAUGAUGAUAUGUAAGAGAUACAUUGAUAUACGCACAAGAUAUGCAUGAAAGAUAUACACAUAUAUGGUGAAUAUGACAUGUCCCCAGAAGCUCCAUUUCUAACACAUUUUUUCAUCAAUAUGAUAAUGUAUAAACACCUACAUAUAUCACAUAGGUUUUCCUGUAUACACAUACAUGUUAGAAAUAAGAUGAGUAUCAGAA